rnacentral:rRNA from 1 species
GUUCCUGGCUCAGGACGAACGCUGGCGGCGUGCUUAACACAUGCAAGUCGAACGAAGAGCGAUGGAAGCUUGCUUCUAUCAAUCUUAGUGGCGAACGGGUGAGUAACGCGUAAUCAACCUGCCCUUCAGAGGGGGACGAACAGUUGGAAACGACUGCUAAUACCGCAUACGAUCCAAUCUCGGCAUCGAGACUGGAUGAAAGGUGGCCUCUAUUUAUAAGCUAUCACUGAAGGAGGGG